rnacentral:rRNA from 1 species
GAUCAUGGCUCAGGACGAACGCUGGCGGCGUGCCUAACACAUGCAAGUCGAGCGGGGAAUAUUGAGCAGCUUGCUUCUUGAUAUUUCUAGCGGCGGACGGGUGAGUAACGCGUGAGCAACCUGCCUUUAUCAGGGGGAUAACGCAUCGAAAGAUGUGCUAAUACCGCGUAAGACCACAGCUUCACAUGGAGCAGUGGUCAAAGGAGCAAUCCGGAUAAAGAUGGG